AUUGAACGCUGGCGGAAUGCUUUACACAUGCAAGUCGAGCGGCAGCGCGGGGCAACCUGGCGGCGAGCGGCGAACGGGUGAGUAAUGCAUCGGAACAUGUCCAUGUCGUGGGGGAUAGCCCGGCGAAAGCCGGAUUAAUACCGCAUACGCCCGAGAGGGGAAAGUGGGGGACCGCAAGGCCUCACGCGAUUGGGUUGGCCGAUGUCCGAUUAGCUAGUUGGCGGGGAANAGCCCACCAAGCGAUGAUCGUAGCUGGUCUGAGAGGAUGAUCAGCCACACUGGGACUGAGACACGGCCCAGACUCCUACGGGAGGCAGCAGUGGGAAUUUUGGACAAUGGGGCAACCCUGAUCCAGCCAUUCCGCGUGAGUGAAGAAGGC
rnacentral:rRNA from 1 species